UGGGGAAAUUUCCGCAAUGGGCGAAAGCCUGACGGAGCAAUGCCGCGUGGAGGUGGAAGGCCUACGGGUCGUCAACUUCUUUUCUCGGAGAAGAAACAAUGACGGUAUCUGAGGAAUAAGCAUCGGCUAACUCUGUGCCAG
rnacentral:rRNA from 1 species